CAUUUGCCUGAGUAAAGUGGCGACCGGGUGAGUAACACGUGGCCAACCUACCCUCGAGCGGGGGAUAACCUGGGGAAACUCGGGCUAAUACCGCAUAACCUCCGAACGGCAUAAGCCGAUCGGAGCAAAGGCCCGCAAGGGUCACUUGAGGAGGGGGCUGCGGCCGAUUAGCUAGUUGGUGAGGUAAUGGCCCACCAAGGCAAUGAUCGGUAGCCGGCCUGAGAGGGCGCACGGUCACACUGGCACUGAAACACGGGCCAGACUCCUACGGGAGGCAGCAGUGGGGAAUUUUGCACAAUGCCCGAAAGGGUGAUGCAGCAACGCCGCGUGAGGGAUGAAGGCCUUCGGGUCGUAAACCUCUUUCGACUGGGAAAAAUGGGCGGGUGAAUAACCCGUUCUGAUGGUACCGGUGGAAGAAGCUCCGGCUAACUACGUGCCAGCAGCCGCGGUAAUACGUAGGGAGCGAGCGUUGUUCGGAAUUAUUGGGCGUAAAGGGCGUGUAGGCGGUGCGGUAAGUCGGGCGUGAAAUCUCCGGGCUUAACUCGGAGGGGCCGUCCGGGACUGCCGUGCUCGAGUGUGGGAGAGGGAAGUGGAAUUCCCGGUGUAGCGGUGAAAUGCGUAGAGAUGUGGAGGAACACCAAUGGCGAAGGCAGCCCCCUGGGCCAAUACUGACGCUCAUGCACGAAAGCGUGGGUAGCAAACAGGAUUAGAUACCCUGGUAGUCCACGCCCUAAACGAUGUCAACUAGGUGUUGGGUGGGUAAAACCAUUUAGUACC
rnacentral:rRNA from 1 species